CACGUGGGGGAAUUAAUUGGAAUGUUUCCAUUGAGGUUAUAUAUGCCUAAAUACAAACGCUGCGUGCAGAUGGGGCUUAAAACCUGUUGGACGCUUGCAGGAACGCGUGUGGUGUAUAAACACGUCGAUACACUCCUGCCUGAAUAUACAGCGUGAUUUCUGUGUGCCUCCGCCUGCCCAACUGCGCCUGGUUUGGAUUCCCGUCUAUCUCUCUUCUCCGUGCAAGAUCUCCCGGAUUUCCCCUACCAGAGAAGCCCUGUGUUGAAUUUCUAGCGCACAUCACCUCUUUCUUUUUUUUUUUUAAAAAAAAAAAGAGAGAAGAAUUUCGAUGGAAAACGGCUACGGCUCUGCUAGCAGCACCGCCAGGAGCAGAGAUCUCAAGGAGCGCCUUUGCUUUGCCUUUCCAAAUGACGACAAAACAGAGGCACAAAAAGCAGAACCCGGCCCCACGUCCCUGUGCGGGCGAAGCCCCGCAGCGCCGAGCAUCGAAAACGCUGCGGGGGCAAAGGAGCGGACGGGAGGGGAGUUGGGGGAAGCUGAGCUCUUGUCGCACCCCGCAAACAUUUAUGUAUCUUAAUCGUUGUAAUUAAAAACGAAAGCAGGAGUCGGGGAUGCGGCGGAGCGCGGGGAAAAUCCAUCUAUCGAUGAACGAAGAAAUCGACAAAUGAAGAAGUAAAAUCUCGAAGUGAAUCGAUGUGAUUUCGGGGAGCGACCUCCCGAAAAGAAAUCACGGCGCUGCAAACGAAACGGGGUCGGACGGCGCUCCGGGCAACGAACCGCGUCCUUCCCACGCUGCUCCUCAGCCGGGGGGCGGUCAGCGGCCGCUGCGGGGCCGUUUUCUCCCGCAUGGGAACGGUGGAUAACGAACAGCGAAAGAGAUCGGGGCUGGGGACGGAGGGAGAAAUCAUUUCCGAGUUGCUCCGCGGGUCCGAGCUGAGAAUUGUUUCAAAAUCGCGCACACAAACACACAAAUAAAAUGUUUAGGGAGGCAAACGAA